UUUGUCUAACUAUAAAAGGUCAAGCCUGCCCAGUGACAUUGUUCAACGGCCGCGGUAUUCUAACCGUGCGAAGGUAGCGUAAUCACUUGUUUUUUAAAUGAGGACUAGUAUGAAUGGCUUCACGAAGGCUAUACUGUCUCCCUUAUCUAAUCAGUUAAACUAAUCUUCCCGUGAAGAAGCGGGAAUAAGCCUAUAAGACGAGAAGACCCUAUGGAGCUUUAAACACUUUCAAACAUUUGAUAUUUAACACUUUUAACUUUCAGUAAAACUUCAUUAAACCCAUCAACUUGUUCUAAGUUUUAGGUUGGGGUGACCACGGAGAACAACCAAACCUCCACGUAGAAAGAAUCUCUCUCUAAGCAAAAAGCUACAGCUUUACGCAUCAAAAUACUGACCUUAAUUGACCCA
rnacentral:rRNA from 1 species